UUGACAAUUAUUUUAAAUUUUUCUGGAAAC
rnacentral:piRNA from 1 species